rnacentral:rRNA from 1 species
CACGUAGGGGCCAAGCGUUGUCCGGAUUUACUGGGCGUAAAGCGCACGUAGGCGGAUCGUUAAGUUAGGGGUGAAAUCCCAGGGCUCAACCCUGGAACUGCCUUUAAUACUGGCGAUCUAGAGUCCGGAAGAGGUGAGUGGAACUCCUAGUGUAGAGGUGGAAUUCGUAGAUAUUAGGAAGAACACCAGUGGCGAAGGCGGCUCACUGGUCCGGUACUGACGCUGAGGUGCGAAAGCGUGGGGAGCAAACAGG